GAGAUUAUUCAGCAAGAGAAGAAGACAAGAGAAGAAGAUCACGUUUUUGGUGUCGUCUCUUUCUCAACACAAUCAAUGCACUCGAACAUCUGUCUUCUUCUUUCAAUUCUGAUUCCUUCUUGUUCGCAACAAGCAAGGGAUCCGUGUCUACGAAGAAAGAGAGAAGUAAGAAGCAAAAAGAAGAAGUCGAAGUCUCUCUCUCUUCUCUCUCUCUCGAGAUUAGAAAGAAAGAAGGAAAGAAAAAAGGAGAGAGCUUUUCUCUCUCUCUAUCUUUCUCCCUCUCCUUUUCUGUAUCAUCUCUCAG
rnacentral:ribozyme from 14 species